CCAGGCAGUGGAGAGGGAGCCAUUUCUCUCCAUUGACUGCAGCUUCCGUGCUCCUGGCUUCCAUCCCCCCGAUUCUAGAGGCCUCAUCUGCCAAGGACUCCGCGAUGGUGGACAUUUUCAUCCUGAUGUUCUUUGCCAUCAUUGGCUUGGUCGUUCUAUCCUACAUUAUCUAUCUGCUGUAGGUCUGCAGCUACGGUGGCGAGAAGCCGCCGGGGAGCAGCUCUGGGGGGGAUGAUGAAGCUAACUGGCCGAGCAUUCUGCUUGCUGACGCACCGGUGGAUUUGUGCUUCUGCUCCAGGUCUCCAGUCCAACAAGAGGAGCCAUCAACAGUAGCAGUUCUGCUGCCCAGCAAGACCUGCUCUGGAGCCUUGAGGACGUCAUCAACACCCACCACACAGGGGACUUUGUGAGCUGAGGCAGAAGCACUCUGUUGAGACUUCAUGAGCUUGGCUAUCAGAUACUGUGUGUGUGUGUUUCAGCUGUAGACAAGAGUGUUGAGAACACAUAUGCUGAAAUGUAGACUCAUUAAAGUUACUAUGGAGAACUGCUCAAAAAUUCAUGUUGAUAGCCUUUCCUUAGAUUUCAGCGCAACUGCAUACUAUGUUUAAUGUUUUUCUUUUCCCUCUCACAUGCAGGGUUUCCUUAUAAGUUCCAGAACACACUUAUCUUCAUCUAUGCAGUAGUCACUUUAUCACUGUCUUUGUGGAUUGUACAAUCUGGGAUUGUGUGGUUUCCCUUGUCUUGUUCUCUAGCCAGGAGAAACAUAUCAUUUGAUUUCUUUUUAAGAUUUAUCAUUUCUACACAAGUAGAACCUGAACUGGAAUUGGUGUAUUGCACCAAAGUAAAAGAUUCUGGGGUGGGUCAGGGGGAGAGUACAAGUCCAAGGAUGACAGAGGACCUAGUGGGGGUUGCAUUCCUAUGUGGAAAGCUGAGAAAUGUUAUGCAUGUACAAACUAUUAUAGUUACUGUCGAAUGUAAAACAUUAAUCCCCCAAUAAAGAAAAAAAAGAAAGAAAGAGGACUGCAGCUAGGAAGGUGGCUCUGUUGUGCAGCACAAGACUUGAGUCCAGUCCUCACUGCAAUCCCUGUCAUAUCAGCCAGACUGAUGCUCUAGUUCUCUCAUUGUCUGUCUCUAUCCCACUUUGUUUCUCUUGUUACAGUUAAUAAAUGAGCUUUUAGAAUAAAACA